rnacentral:rRNA from 1 species
AGCAGCCGCGGUAAUUCCAGCUCCAAUAGCGUAUAUUAAAGUUGUUGCAGUUAAAAAGCUCGUAGUUGAAUUUCGGGAUUGACGUGAUGGUCAUGCCUUAAGGGGUAUGAACUGUUACAGUUGAUUUCUCACCUUCUGGAGAAACUUGAUGUCCUUUAUUGGGUGUCUUGCGGAUCCAGGACCUUUACCUUGAAAAAUUAGAGUGUUUAAAGCAGGCAUUUUUGCUCGAAUACAUUAGCAUGGAAUAAUAGAAUAGGACGGCAUGGUUCUAUUUUGUUGGUUUCUAGGAUCACCGUAAUGAUUAAUAGGGAUAGUUGGGGGCAUUAGUAUUCAAUUGUCAGAGGUGAAAUUCUUGAAUUUAUUGAAGACUAACUACUGCGAAAGCAUUUGCCAAGGAUGUUUUCAUUAAUCAAGAACGAAAGUUAGGGGAUCGAAGACGAUCAGAUACCGUCGUAGUCUUAACCAUAAACUAUGCCGACUAGGAAUCAGACGAUGUUAAUUUUUAAUGUACUCG